rnacentral:snoRNA from 1 species
UUGAUGUUAAGUCAUACCCUCUUUUCCCCACGGGCGCCCAGUGUGCAGUGGCUGCAAACUGCAGCCUCCUUGCUAGUGUAUUCAGCCUGUUGCCUGUGUGGGUUGCCCUAAGGGCCUCAGAGGUAGUC